GGCAAAGGCGACUUGGGGCAACACUUCAAGCUAUGCAGGAGCGCGGGAGCGGAGUGCUUACAUCAGCCCCAGCUUUGACGCAAAAAUCAUCUCUAGCGACGUUACAAGCGCCUGGAGACGCGACACAAC
rnacentral:lncRNA from 1 species